rnacentral:rRNA from 1 species
GGGUCAGUAGGUUGGUCGUGCCACCGGUACGUACUGGUCUCACUGAUUCCUCCUCCCUGAAGAACCGUAAUGCCAUUAAUUUGGUGUUGCGGGGAAACAGGACUGUUACUUUGAAAAAAUUAGAGUGUUUAAAGCAAGCUAACGCUUGAAUACAUUAGCAUGGAAUAAUGAAAUAGGACGAUCGAUCCUAUUUUGUUGGUUUCUAGGAUUGACGUG